GUAGCAAGGUUAACCGUAUAGGGGAGCCGAAGGGAAACCGAGUCUUAACCGGGCGUUAAGUUGCAGGGUAUAGACCCGAAACCCGGUGAUCUAGCCAUGGGCAGGUUGAAGGUUGGGUAACACUAACUGGAGGACCGAACCGACUAAUGUUGAAAAAUUAGCGGAUGACCUGUGGCUGGGGGUGAAAGGCCAAUCAAACCGGGAGAUAGCUGGUUCUCCCCGAAAGCUAUUUAGGUAGCGCCUCGUGAAUUCAUCUCCGGGGGUAGAGCACUGUUUCGGCUAGGGGGCCAUCCCGGCUUACCAACCCGAUGCAAACUGCGAAUACCGGAGAAUGUUAUCACGGGAGACACACGGCGGGUGCUAACGUCCGUCGUGAAGAGGGAAACAACCCAGACCGCCAGCUAAGGUCCCAAAGUCAUGGUUAAGUGGGAAACGAUGUGGGAAGGCCCAGACAGCCAGGAUGUUGGCUUAGAAGCAGCCAUCAUUUAAAGAAAGCGUAAUAGCUCACUGGUCGAGUCGGCCUGCGCG
rnacentral:rRNA from 1 species